rnacentral:misc_RNA from 1 species
UCAGAAGGCGGAAGUGUCUGUUCUCAGCUGACAGGAAAGUCAUCUUUUGGCAAAAACAAUGUGAAAAACUGUUUUUAAUCGUGAUGGCUUCUGCACCGGAACGUCUCCGGUUAAAGGACAGAAUCGUAGCAAGUGUUGCCACGUCAGUCAAGUCGAUCCAGGAAUACCAGGUUGCAUGUGGCUGUGGAGAUGACCCAGUCACUCUCACCAAUACUGACCGCCCCUGUCAGCGACUUACAGAGAAUUUUGACCAUGUCUUCCUUCAUGGUCUGAGACACAUAAACUAUGGCUACUGGAAAGUUGUGAAGGAGUUCACCAGGAAGGAUGCUGUCAAGGAGAUCUGUCGUCUACGCAACAUCACAACAGACCUGGGGCGAGGGAGGGCAUGGUUGAUGAUGACCUUGAAUGAAUGUGUCCUUGAAAGUUACAUCCGUUGUUACCUUGACAACAAGAAGCUUGUGAAGAAACAUUAUGUGCGCGAAGCAUUUGUCCUUGAUGAACAGAGGAUGAACGUUCUACUGACCCUGACAUCAGGACUGGAGUACGCCAUUUUCCAUCUAGACUAUGAUGUGCCCUACCUUGAUCUUGGCACCUACCCACCAGGCAGUCGGUCAAGGACGAGUUCAGCUAACUCUGCUCUUCAGGACGAUGACCAUGCCUCAUUAUGCAGUAUGGACAGUAUCACCUCGACCAGGGGCCGUAAUAUGUCGUUCACUGCUGCUGUGGAAUAUACCGGUAAAAGUUGUAACGCUAUUGACACACAAAGUCAGAACAGUGAAGAUACAGGUCAGUCUAAAGGCGGGUCUGUGGACUCUGGGAUAUUGGUGAGUGAUCGCGAUAAUCAUGUGGACUACAAAAGGUCAAGUUUUCCAAGAGGUCACGAUCGCGAACUUUCAUUGGAGGAACAGGAAGAGGAGUUUAAAGUCAUUCGUGUGUCAUCAAGUAGAAAAAAGAAAAAGUCAGUGAAAAAAGGUCACGCUAAAGUUCACCGAGAGGAAGUACUUCAGGAGGAUGUGUCUGUUCUAGCGUGUCCCGACACUAUCCAACACCAGAACUCGUGCUUGUCACAGGAACCAAGCUUGUCAGAUAUUUUAGAUUUUGACGAUAGAGAUUAUAGUGAACUCCCCGAUCGUUCCCCAGGGGACGGUAUGGAGAGCAGUCAGGAAUCCUUAAAUGCCAACCUCCUACAUCGAGGUAAUGACAAAACUAAGGUCAUGGAAAACUAUAACAUUGCAUUUGUAGACAUGAGUAAAGAGGAUUUGGACUAUAAUAUAUACAAACACACGCCUAUACAGAACUCACAGUCCGACUACUUUAAUGUGUAUAAAGAUUCUCAAAACACACAUAGUGAAUCCAUCGAACACGAGGCAUUAGAUUUAGCUGCAACUUCGAAAUCCGGUGAAAGUAUAAGUGCAGUUGUUUCCUCUGUUAACGAUUUGCCUGUGAAAAACGAUAUUGGUGAGGAGAAAGGUAAAACUGUAGCCAGUAAAAGCGAACUGGGGGUUAUUGAUGAAAAAUGUUCACAACCACUGGAAGGAACCUCACAAGCCUGUGAUAAUACAGAUGGAACUGAAGAUGUUAGUGUUAAUGUUGAUAACACCAGUGAUGUAGAUUUGAAUGAACACAUCGACAAAACCCCAGAAAUACUGACUUGUGGUAAUGUAACUACAUCUUCUCCUGACAAAACAGACAUUGUAGGGAAAAGUGCAAUAAAUUCAUCAUCAUCCAAUCAGAAAUCAGCAACAUCAGAGAUGCAGGAUCGUGUGAACGACAUGAUUAACCAGACGAAUACUCACCUCGGCCGUCACAUGUUUGAGGAGGAGCCGGAAGACACUGACAUUGAGAAUGGGAAUGUGCUGGAGGAGGAGGAGAAGACUGUGGCCGGGGAAGUCAGAUUGAACAACAACACAAAGCUAUACCUGAUGUUGGACGUGUUUGAUGAUACAGACGAAGAGUUUAUCAAGGCGUUUGCUUCACGGACUGGUCACACGGAGGGAGAGGCCAAGACUGUAUUUCUGUUGGUAACUAACCGAGCCCUUCACCUGCUGUCUCAGGCUCAGAGUGACCAUCGCUUCGUCAAGGACUCAUCCAUUCCGUAUCAACAACUUGACUACAUAUCUCUUAGCCUGUCAGACCAGGUGAUCCAGAUUGUGUGUCUGAACCGAAGAAAACAGUUCUGGAUCACGACCGGGAGCCAACUUGUUACCAGGUCGAUUGUGGGGUGCCUCAGCCAGGCCAUUGACAAGGGUGGUUUUGACAUACCAAAGAUCUCUGUGUUGACCGAUGCCACAACUCAAAAGAUAGCCCUGAGGAAGUAUGCCGCCCAGGAAUGCAAGUGUGAGACAUCUGCUGUUGAAAUUUGCUGUUACUCACUGGUCCACUGGGAUGACCCGACAGCUAAGGGGGAUAACUCUGACAGUACUUACAAAGAGGGUCACCUUCUGUAUAAGAUGAACGAGGUAGGGGCAUCACUAGGCAGCACACUCCUUAGUACCGUCCAGGAUCCCGCUGCCCUCAUCUAUGGAACAUCAUGGAAACCAGCCUACGUAGUCCUCAAAGAUGGUAUGCUGUGUGUGUAUAGCAGUAAGGCGGUCAGUAAGCCUCUUCAUUUUGUCCAGCUCGGAGGAGAUGACUGUAUAGGGUGUCGCCACGCCUCGAACACUGACCGUGAUCACUGUAUCCAAGUCAUCAUGGCUUCUGGCACAACAUGGCACAUUGCCUUAGCAACAGACGUUGAGGCUAAUCAGUGGCUACAAAGUCUGUGUCGCGCUGUAGCUCAAGGGCUUGAGAAGACUCCACUGACAGUGAAUUGUCUCCCGUGCUGCCUUGUACUUACUCCGCAGAAAUUAUUGAUGUGUCACGAGGAUGUCCAGACUAGUUUCUUCAGGACGCUAGGGAGUGCUAACUUACUGGACAUCACCAACGUACUGACCGACCCAGCGGUCAGCAACUACUGUGUCUUGGAGUUUGAGUCACAUGAUCAAGGUGUUAGUGCUGACCAAUGGGUGCUGUAUUUUAAUGAUGGCUCAGAAACUCAACGCUUCAUGCAGGCUCUGUCUUCAGCAUGGUCAAUUCACUACAAGGUUGGGGUGCCGGACAUGACCAUCACAGAUGUAUCACUUCAGAAAAAUUGUCGGGACAUGGUCACCAGACUAGGUUCAUCUCUAGAGGUCAGACAGUGACCUUGACCUCGAAAGGUUAAACAGUGACAUUGGCCUUCAUAUGUUUUCUGGAAGGAUAGAACAGCAGAAGGAUUGUUGAGUUAUCUGCCUAACAGUUGUGUUCUAGAUAAAUAACCUUAUUUAAAAGUUUAACCUAUAAUCUACCGCUCAUAUAAUGUAUCUGCAUAAUUUGUAAGUGUUCAGGUUUAACUCAUUCACCCCUGAAGACACAUUUGAACUCUUCUUAUUUAAAGGUUGGAAUAGUUCAUUAUGAAACUUCAGGGGUAAAUGAGUAAAGGUUAAACCAAUUUUUUUAUUUUAUUUUUUUGAGAUUUGACUUAGUCCUGUAACAAAAUUUGUGCAAUAUAUCUAACUAAUGGUUGUACUUUUUCCCAAGGUUUACACAACAGAGGAUAAAUAUGUGUAUUGUUGGUGCAUAAUUCUACCUAUGACCAGCCAUUGUGGCCUGGCUGAUCAAAGAGGAAUAAACAUGUACUUGAUUUAUACCAAACCCUGUACCCUGAAUAUACAAAAGAGCAUCGUCAUCUGUAAAAUUUGUUUUAUCGAUGAGAUUGGCUGUUACAUGCUGUCAGAUAUAUUAUUCUGCUUUCUCUGUUAUUUUAUUUUUUCCAGUGCCAAAAAGCUUUCUUGUGAUUUAUAUUUGUAGUUUUACUUCGGUUAUGACGUUACGGAUUGGUUUAAAUGACAUUUUAGUGAUCAUGUGUUUUAAAUCUUUUUUAUAAAUAGUUGUGUGAGAGUUUAAAAUUUGUAUAAUCUGCUAGCUUUUUGGAAUUUGAAAUGCUUUUUUUCAUUUCAAAGAGGAAGUUAGUUAAAAUAUGGCGUGGUUAAGUAUUGUCCCUCCAUUUGUCAUCUUUUCUCUAUUUACCGGUACAUUUCAUAUCUUCCGUUUAUAGGUGAUCAACACAUAAAAUGCUCUGUCUUUAAAAGCAGGAUAGUGGAAUUCUUUUCUUUAACGAAAUCUGAGCAUGCUUUUGUAGUGACUCUUUGUUAGUAUCUAUAAAAAUCAUGAAUUCAAUUACCAAUAGUGCAAUCUAUAUAUAUAAAAUAGUAAUUUUCUACAUAAAAGUAUCCAGAAAGUGAUUUUUUCUGAAUUCUGUAUUCAAAAUGUCUUCACGAAUACCAAGUUGAAUGUUCAUAUAUGUAUUAUAAUGUUGAUCUAUACAUAUGCAGAAAAACAUAGCUGGUUCAAGGUUGAUAAAUAGUGGGCUAUAUUUGACGGCAACCUGCAUGUAAUGAUAACACUGAUGUUUUUAGAUUUGUAGGUAAAUGGAACUCAGGGGUGUACAAUUAAGUAGACCAAAGCUUAGAUCUAGUAGAUUUUAUGUCAGGCCCAGUUGAAAUUUUCAAAAUUUACAUUUAUGAAUCCACAGGUUUGGCUUGUAUAUACAUGUACCAGAAAAAGUAGUCAAAAAAGUGAUACUUUUCUGUGGCAUUUACGGUAAAAACAUUCAAUACAUUUAUAAGUGGAUAUUUGACAGUCGGGUAUAUCGAAGAAUCUCGCUCCAUAAUUUCUCUGCAAACAAAGGUUUGCAGCAUAGCAAUAUUGAUCUUGUUGUCUGUUCAUGAAGAGUUCACAAUGAUAAAUUCAAAAUAUGAUUUUUGUUUUAAAGAAAGUAAUGAAAGUAAUAAGUUUUAAAGCAGUAUCGUAAUUAUCCUUAGUUAAGCCCAGGGAACCAACACGUAACCCCUUCACCAAUGAAUCCCUGUAAACAGUGAUUCAAAAGGCUUCCUCCUGACGGCAAAUCCCUGUAUACAGUGAUUCAAAAGGUUUCCUCCUGCCGGCAAAUCCCUGUAUACAGGGAUUUUUGAGGGGGCUGAAUUCCUGUUAUAAAUAAACCCUAGUUACAUACAAUAUCUUCACAAUACGCUGAUAUAAGUUUGCAUAACUGAUGAUAUCCAUAAAAUAUUAAAAUAAAUUUAGUUAAUAUAAGACAUUUUGAACUUUUACAUUCUAUAUAUUAUAUAUUUUAAAAAGUGAUUUUGUGGGGGAAUAGGUCGGUGAAAAGGUUAAUAUCUGACUCAACAUAGAGGAAUGAGAUUAUUACAGAGAAGUGAUCCAGCCUUUGCUGGCAUUAAUACUGUAAUAGAUAUGGGAGGGAUUAUCACCAGGCGUGGGCUUAUUAUCCGAUAAAUGAUGUAAUGUAUUUCAGAUCAUUGUUCACUUUAUGUGAAAAAAUUAAGUUCAUGUGCCUAUUACUAUGUUGACAGAUUGAAAUAGUUUGAAUAAUUUUAAAUCUGAAAAUUGUUUUUUGUUAACUUUAUUUUCAAAUCGAGGAUUUAGUUUAUUGUGAUAUGAUCUUUGUUGAGAUAAUUUUUUGAUAGCUCCCUUGGACAUGGAUUACUUAAAGCUCUAGCGGAGUUCCUUGUCAUCUGUAACUGUUUUUGAUUAAUGUUUAUGAUAUACGUUAAUUUAUGUCAUGUGGUGAUCCUAAUUUAAUUUUUAGAAGUGUUGAAAACACGACUUAAAGUUGAGAUUUCAAAAUGCUAUGAUGUCUUUGUAUUUUAUUGAAUUGUACUUUUAAUUUCUUGUCUUUUGAAGGCGAAUUUUGUUUCCUAUCAUCUACAGAUGUAUUGACGCAUACAACAAACAGUUUCUGAGGAAGGUUUCCCUCAAAGUAUAAUCAUUGUAUUAUUGAAUCCAUUCCAGUUGUAUAUUUUAGAUUGGUGUACAUAAAAUGCUUUAAAACUUCCAAUAUUUUAUAUGAAGCUAAGACAAACCCCCAUGACUGUUACAGAUAUACCCCGGUAGCCAUUCUCCCUUGCCAUUUCACUUUAAAUAAGCUUUGUAUGAUCUUACAGUUCUGUACAUAUCAAUUGACUCUACGCAUUGAGUCAAGGUAAAACCUGUUAUCCUUUCAUUUGGUAGUAGACCUGUCCUUUACCACACAAAGAAACUGCAUGGCACUUGUAACCUUACAGCCAGUCAGAAUGGGAUUUUGCGGCAUACAGAUAUGCGAUUUGAUUGUUUAUGAUCAUCUGUCUGUUGCAGUGUUAUAUUUCCCCGUUACAUGUUAUUUAGCCAUCAUAAAUACCAAACAACAAGAAAGGCAACAAACAACUAAAACAAUUAGUGGACACUCAUCUUCGACUAAAAUCUUUACUAAAGCUAAAGAGUAGUUUUAUUAGUACACAAGUGACUGAUAGUCCAUCACAUAAACCAAUGUUCAAAUUACUGUGAUAUUACUUCUCUGGUCUCCUAGUAAAUGAACUGAUCUUUAUUACAUAUACCAGGCAAUUGUGAUUACAUGAUGGUCAAUUAUUGUUUUCAUCUGAGGACAAUGGUCUGAUAAAUUGACUGAUAUUUAUGUGUAUCCAUAUUUUACUCCAUUAAGGAUAAAAAUAAAAUAAAAUGCUAAGCUCUGUAUACUACUUGUUACAAAUAAAUGUAUUUUAAAAUUGCAUUUCUAAAAUCACAUACUUUGUACCUACAGUAUAUAUUUAUAUAUAAUGUACUCUUACCAUUCUAAAGGACUAUGUUUUAUCAAUUUCUUAAUUACAUAAAUGACACUGUCAUUUUGAAUCAUUGACAUUUUCAUAAAUGAUAUAAUCAUCAAUUUCUAUAGGGAGUUCAACCACUUUCCUGCUGUAUACAGGCAUUAUUUGUCUUUUAAAUUUAUAUUAUCCUUUAAAAUCAUACAAAGACAAAUAUUGCUUGCAAAUCUUUUUCACAGAGUUUAAACAUUUUAAAAUUGAUUUGAGUAAUAUUGCAGAAACACAGUUACAACCCGAAUAUCAUGACUGGUAGCACAGUGGAUAGGCUCCCUGCUUUGUUAUCAAGACAGAUGUUUUCCUGAUUGUUUUUCUACAUUCUCAAUAUAUUUGUAUAUAACCUUUCAUACAGUAAAUGAGCAAGUAACUCCAAGUCAGAAAAAUGCCAAACAAAAUGGAACUCUUCUUCAUUGAAGAUGCAACACAGAACACUGGGACUCUCUACCUUAAGUUCUUUUUGUUUUCUGCUUCAGUACCUCCAUUAUAUGAGUUAGCCAGAUUCACUUUAUUUUCAAAAGAAGUGAAACCUCUGGCACUAAAUAUUGUUAAUUCAAGUUUAUAUAUAAAUAAGAACUUCAUUUAUUUUACAACAAUUAUGAAACAAGUUUUCCAACUUACAUUAAUCACACGUGUUGACCAGAUGAAAGUACGCAGAAGAUCUUAGUUAAAAAUCCAGUGCACACAUGCCCUAUUUAUUGAUAACAGGAGCUAGGAUAUUUUAAGAAAUAUUUUUGAAUAUAAAUAUUGAUGUAGUAAGAUUGCUGUGUUGGUACACUUAUAAAAUCAAUGUGAUAUCACUGUGUAUUAAUUGUUAUUGCAUGACCACCACCUUAUUGACUGUUACCAUAGAGAUCUUCAGCAUUCAUUUAUUCUGUGUUUCAUGAAUUUAAAAACGUUACUUUGUCACCUUUGUUUCUGAAAUUUCAGUAAUAUUGUGACAUUUUUGGUUUCCCUCUGCAUUUUGUAACUGUGAUUAAGAAGGUUUUGAAUUUGCUAAAGGAAUAUAAUCCUAAACUAACAUGGAAAUAUAUCUGUGAUACAUGUAAUUUACAUGUGACAUAACACAUUCCUUCUAUAGGUGCUGUAGUAUAGGUUUGUAUCCAGUAGAACGUACCAGGCUCAUCUAUCAUACUAAACCUUCCCAGCUCUUGAGAGUGUAAAUCAUACCAAUUUUCUUAGCGUUCUAGCUCUCUCAUUCUUCUCAUAACAUUAUACUGUUAUUUUCUAGCUUGUAUAAAAGGUUUGUUAUUUUACUUUUAUUUAUAUUUGUCACUGUUUAAUUUAGCCAGAUAAGAUAAGAUAAAUGUUAUCUAGAGUCGGUUGGCAUUUAGAAAAAUAUAGAGCUUUUGACCGACAUUAAAUAGAGCUUUUGACCGCCAGUCGACACAAGUUUUCUGCGUCUUAAAAGUACAUUAGUGAUCUACUGCAAGUAUAUAUAUUUGAAAAAUUACAUGCUUUUCAAACAGAGAAGUACAGAUUUGUUGGAUAUUUUGUUCACACUCAAAACAUUUAACAAUAAUUAGGGGGUUGGGGGGUGUUAGCUGGGUAUUCAGCCGCUAACUGAGAUAUUCAGCCCCCAACCCAGGUAUUCAGCCGCUACCUUAGAUAUUCAGCCCCCAACCCAGAUAUUCAGUCACUAGUCUAGAUAUUCAACACCAACCCAGAUAUUUAGCCGCUAGCUUAGAUAUUCAGCCCCCACCCAGAUAUUCAGCCUCUAGCUUAGAUAUUUAACCCCCAACCCAUAUAUUCAGUCACUAGUCAAGAUAUUCAACACCAACCUUGAUAUUCAGCCGCUAGCUGAGAUAUUCAGCUCCAACCGAGAUAUUCAGCCCCCAACCAAGAUAUUCAGCCGCUACCUUAGAUAUUCAGCCCCCAACCCAGAUAUUCAGCCUCUAGCUUAGAUAUUCAACCCCCAACCCAGAUAUUCAGCCUCUAGCUUAGAUAUUCAGCCCCCAACAAAGAUAUUCAGCUGCUAGCUGCCUAUAGCUAAAUAUUCAGCCACCUGAUAGGGUAGGUAUUCAGCCAUAUUCAGCCAUAUUCAGCCACAAGACUUGAUAUUUAGCCCCUAGCCUAGAUAUUCAGCCCCUAGCCCAGAUAUUUAGCCCCUAGCCUAGAUAUUCAGCCCCUAGCCUAGAUAUUCAGCCCCUAGCCUAGAUAUUUAGCCCCUAGCCUAGAUAUUCAGCCCCUAGCCUAGAUAUUUAGCCCCUAGCCUAGAUAUUCAGCCCCUAGCCUAGAUAUUCAGCCCCUAGCCUAGAUAUUUAGCCCCUAGCCUAGAUAUUCAGCCCCUAGCCUAGAUAUUUAGCCCCUAGCCUAGAUAUUCAGCCCCUAGCCUAGAUAUUCAGCCCCUAGCCUAGAUAUUUAGCCCCUAGCCUAGAUAUUCAGCCCCUAGCCUAGAUAUUCAGCCCAUAGCCUAAAUAUUUAGCUAUACAGUAUCUUUCUUGUCAUUGAAGAUUUGUAUUGUAUGUAUGAUGCGAGUCUGCAAGAUUAUCUGUUACUAAAUCCAACAUGUAAUGGUCACAUUUAGUAUUGAACAGAUUACCAUAAACUAGUCAAACCUGCUCAAGAUACCACCUUUAUUUAGAGACCACUGUGUUAAUAUGUUAUAUUUUUACCAUUGUUGUCAUAGUGAAAUCUUUGUUAAAAGUCAUUUUCAAAAGAAAUUUUCGAUAAAAUUGCAUGUUGCCAAGCAUUUUACGGAAUUGUAGUUGCUGGAAGGUGAAAUUUGAAAGUUUGAAUUGUUUGAAAAUAGAAAUUAAAAAAAAAAAUGCAGGUGUCCAAAUCGGAACCAUUACAUUAGAAAGCUUACUCUUUAAAAAAGUUGCCAUACAGGAAUCAUUAAAACGACUCUAACAUGCAUUGAUCUGGACAAGUCGAUUGUGGUCUACAGAGGUGAAAAAGUGUCCGAUUCAUGGGCCCCAAAGAAUAUGAAAAAGUAUACAUCAGAAAAAAAUCUUUUAUGUUUGCUCUGUCUUUUAUAUAGAAGAGAGAAUGCUCCAAGUAAAAAACCCAGAGUGGAACUCUUCUUCACGAUUAUAACAGAGGUAGUGGUACCCUUCACCUUAAAAAAACACUUUUAAAUCUUUCCAUUGUUACCUACCGACUAUACACUAUAGUUGGCAGACAGCAUUUUAUCAAAAGAAAUGUUGUGACAAUUACCUGUUGAUUUUUUAUAUCCCCUAUAGUAAAGACUACUAUUUCACUGUUAUGGAGAUGUGAACUAUGACAAUGUAGUCAAUUUUACCUGCUUACCCAAGUAAUAUAUGCAAAUCAACUGACACUACAAUAUUAUUACAAUAAUAUUACUGACUUUAAAUGAGAUUACUGGUAUUCAUCCUGCAAUAAGCCCAUGGAGAAACACAUACUCUCAAACUCAAAGUAAAAGGAUGGGGUUACCGCAGGACAAACAAAAAAAUCUUUGAUUUGAAAUUCACAAGUUGUCCUAGGAAUAAUGGUGUUGAUAACUGAAUCUAGUUUUAAAUUUACAGGUUUAUAAAAAUUGAUGCAUUUGGUGGGUUUGCAUUUUAUUACCUGUACAUUGUUCAGUUAUCAGGUAAACCAGCUGAAAAUGAUAUCUUGGAUAGCUAUUACACACUAGGAAAUAUGGUUCCUUGCACAAUAAAACCAGUGCUUUGUA